UACGUAGGGGCAAGCGUUGUCCGGAAUCAUUGGGCGUAAAGAGCGUGUAGGCGGCCCGAUAAGUCCGCUGUGAAAGUCCAGGGCUCAACCCUGGGAUGCCGGUGGAUACUGUCGGGCUCGAGUCCGGAAGAGGAGUGUGGAAUUCCCAGUGUAGAGGUGAAAUUCGUAGAUAUUGGGAAGAACACCGGUGGCGAAGGCGGCUCUCUGGACCGACAUUGACGCUGAGGAGCGAAAGCCAGGGA
rnacentral:rRNA from 1 species